AGAGUUUGAUCCUGGCUCAGGAUGAACGCUGACAGAAUGCUUAACACAUGCAAGUCAACUUGAAUUUGGGUUUUUAACUUAGGUUUGGGUGGCGGACGGGUGAGUAACGCGUAAAGAACUUGCCUCACAGCUAGGGACAACAUUUAGAAAUGAAUGCUAAUACCUAAUAUUAUGAUAAUAGGGCAUCCUAUAAUUAUGAAAGCUAUAUGCGCUGUGAGAGAGCUUUGCGUCCCAUUAGCUAGUUGGAGAGGUAACGGCUCACCAAGGCGAUGAUGGGUAGCCGGCCUGAGAGGGUGAACGGCCACAAGGGGACUGAGACACGGCCCUUACUCCUACGGGAGGCAGCAGUGGGGAAUAUUGGACAAUGGACCGAGAGUCUGAUCCAGCAAUUCUGUGUGCACGAUGAAGUUUUUCGGAAUGUAAAGUGCUUUCAGUUGGGAAGAAAGAAAUGACGGUACCAACAGAAGAAGUGACGGCUAAAUACGUGCCAGCAGCCGCGGUAAUACGUAUGUCACGAGCGUUAUCCGGAUUUAUUGGGCGUAAAGCGCGUCUAGGUGGUUAUAUAAGUCUGAUGUGAAAAUGCAGGGCUCAACUCUGUAUUGCGUUGGAAACUGUAUAACUAGAGUACUGGAGAGGUAAGCGGAACUACAAGUGUAGAGGUGAAAUUCGUAGAUAUUUGUAGGAAUGCCGAUGGGGAAGCCAGCUUACUGGACAGAUACUGACGCUAAAGCGCGAAAGCGUGGGUAGCAAACAGGAUUAGAUACCCUGGUAGUCCACGCUGUAAACG
rnacentral:rRNA from 1 species